GUUACUAAAAUGUGAGUUCCCACCUAAAAAUCUGGAUGGUAAAGGACUUACUGUUCAGAAUUUAGAGUUCUCUCUGUGCCCAGCCUUCCAGAAUGACAGGAAUAAUUAGAAAUCAGCUUGCUGCCAGAAAGGAUGGUCUUUGCUGGAAUUGAGUACUUGUUUGUACUUGGAUCAUGAUUUCUUGAGAAAGAAGGCUGUAACUUCCCCACCCAUGGCAACUGCCACUGCCUUGAUCCAACCUGGCCCUAGGAUCUGGCUGCUGUGUACUUUUCUGGAAACUUCCUCAAAUGCUUUCUACUGGGUUGGACCAGAGAUCCUGAUAUAUCUUUCUUCAAUUCCCAAAGCUGCAGGCUAUUAAUGUUAAGGCUGGUAAGACACAGUAAUUGUAAACAACAUUGAAAGAAUCUGUUCUGAUGACUCCUUGUACUUCUUUGUGUAUUCUGUCCUAUACCUAUGUGUAUGUGUGUGUGUGUGUUCAUGCAUGUGUGUGUAAGUGUUAGUUUACCAUAAGAGCAGGAAUUAUGAAACUGCCUUGGACUUCAGCCUCUGGCUGCUCAGUUAUUUUAUUGAGCCUUGGCUGUGUGUCAGGAGUUGUGCUAGGUACCAGGGAUCCAGCAGGAAACAAGAUAGCUACAGUUCCUGUCCUCAUGGGUCUUGGUGUCAAGAGCAGAAUAUUAUCAGAAAAUCUGCAUCCCUCAAUACCUUCUCAGAGAUGACAGCUCCUCCUACUACAUGCCACGUGCUGAGAGGUCCUUCUCCUGAGCACACUGCAUAUUUACUUUCCUUAUUCCUGAGGCUCUGUCAGACUCCAGGGUGAAGCGAAGGCAGCUGUCUAUGCUAGAGCUGAGGCCCUCAGGAUAGACAGAACAUGGCAGGCAGAAGCAGCAAUUUCCCAAACCCCAGUCAGUCAGAUUUUUCUCCCUUUACCCCAACAUUCCCUCCUUGUGGCUGGUGUAUUGGAGUCACAGGAGAGACAGUGGUCAACUGCUGAUGGUGUGGAGGCUGCUGCUGGGUGGGAGCCUGCCUUCCUCACCCUCUCUGGUGUACAGGGCGGGACUCAUUGCAUCACCCUUGGAGCCUCUACCCUUGGCUUUGCAGCCAGCUGGGCCCCUAGAGGAGGAACUCUCCCUGUUUUUCAACAAACCAUUAACCAUUUCACCAUCCCAACCCUCUAUGCAGCCAACAUGAUUCCCAAGGCUCACCCUUGUUCCUGUCUGCCUUAAUCUUGGAAAUGUCCAUUAUACUCAAGGGCUCAGCCUGGGUAGCCUCUUAAUAGCUGAAGUCUCCACCAUCCCCAGUGUGAGCCUGGUGCAUCCCCGGGAAAAGAGUUAAACUCCCUCAUCCCCACCCUCAGCAUUUGUCCCAUUCUGCAGCAGUGAGGACAGAGCUCUCCAGCCUCCAGCAUGAGCUCAUGCCACCUCUACACUCCAAACAGAGUCCCAACAAAGGGUCAACAGACAUUUAGGCUCAGAACUGGAGUGCAGCUUGAGCAGAGACCAGGAGUUUAGACAUUGGCCUGUCCCCAGAGUCCCUCCAACCAUUUCCAGCAGACCUGUUUGGGCCUUGUCCUCUUUAUAGGAAUGCAGGAGAGGAAUGGGUGCAGUGAAGGCCCUAAAGGCCCAAGGGGCUUAGGAGAAUUGCAAGAACACAGUGUUUUCCUGUUCCUAAAGGGGCUGGACAAGGAGGCAUCAGGGGGUGUCGGCAUAGAGUCUAUUCCAGUCAGUGAAGCCCAGGCCACAUUCCUACUCAGGACUUUUAUCUUCCAGCCAUAGCGUUUACCCCACCCAUUCUAGGGCCUGAAAUAGCCUGGGACUGCAUCCAAGCCUAGGCCCCAGUCCCAAGUUUAGUCCCACAAACAUUUGGCUGCAUCGUAACUCUUUAAAUCCUGAGCUAGGUCCUAUGGGGAUACAUUAAUGAAGAAUGCCUUCAGGGAGCUUGUAAAAUGUACCCAAAUGACUGCUAUAGGCAUAAGAUGCCUGUGGAAAAAGACAGAAAGAUGGCUUCCCAUGAAAUGAAUGGGCAACCUGGUGAGAGUCAUUUUGUUUAGUCUUAAAGGAUAAUGUCUUGGUUACUUUUCUCUCAUUGCUGGGACAAAACACUGACACCAAAAAUGAAGGAAAGAAAGAUUUAUUUAGCUCCCUGUUUGUGGAGGUUUCAGUCCAUAAUCAGCUGGCUCCAAGGCAAGGUGGCAUGGCACUGGGACAAUACUUCAAGGCAGCAGCGAGAGCAAAAGGAGGGAGAGUAAGCCUCUUUUCUUCCCUUCUAUGGUAUACAGGCCACUCCUCCCCUCCAGGGCAGGUGUAGCAUUCACAAAAUCUCUGUGCCUUUCUCUUGCACAGGAUAAGGACAUCUACAAAGUAAGGAUCCUGGCUCCCUGCUGAGUCUCUCAGUAAAACUUCUAAACUUCUCAGGUUGACACAAUGUAUCAACCAUAAAAGAUGAGUAGGAUUCCACAGGCAAAAAUGAGAUACACUCAUUCUAGAAGGAUUAACAAGAGCAAAAUCACAGAGGCAUGAAGUUUAGGCUAUCUUCUUGAACAUGCCCAGCAAUUUGAUUUGGCUGGAGGAUAUGAGAGAAUAUGGACUGUUUACAGUUUCCAUGGAUGAGUGAGUUUGUCUAGAUUUCCUGAAUAUCAAAGACUGUCAAGUGACAAAAAGACUCAUUGGUUAAGAGUUUACAGAUCAGUAAGUGGAGGCAUAGAAACUCAUUCAUAGAUAUAAAGCAGUCAUGAUACAGCAAGGACCAGACUCAGGUUACACCACCCUUGCUGUCUUGGCCUCAUUCAGGUCCCUUAAUCCUGAGGCUUAACUCAUGGCGCUGCCUGACCAACAGACCUUCUACUUUGUUGGUGUGCCAAGAAGACAUUUGGCUUCAGAGGUGAGCAGCCAGUGGUCACAGAUGAGCACAGAGAUCCUGCCAUGUGACUUCCCCAUGGUUUUGUUUACAAACAAGGAGUGAACAGCUCUAUGACACUUGACAGGACAGAAACAUCCAUUUUCUUUAUUUUUCCAAAUUUAUUUAAAUCUGGUCCCAAAGCUCAUUUUCAGAUGGUAAGAAGUCUAAUAUCAUUACUAGGGCUUCUUCCUUGGCUAAUUGGUUUUACCAAAAAUAAAACAAAAUUAAAAAGCUCCAGCCAAGUAUACAAAGUCUUGGUCUGAUAGGAAUAGAGUGCUUGGUCCUGAAUUAGGGAGCUGCUCUCUGGGCUACCUGUGGAAUGCAGGUCGUUUGCUGUGUGCAUUGCUUCUCCUGGCAGGCUGGUGAGCUGCCUGCUUAUCACAAUCUCUCAGCGGCUGGGUACUUGGUGGUCUUUCUUUCAGCUCCUCACAGCCAUGUAUAUAGUAGGUUUUUCCAGCUCCAGGAAGGGAGUGCAGUCCAGUUGCAUCUCAGCUUAUGGAUUUGUGGACCCUCUGGGACCCUCCGGCUGGAAGCUGUUGCUCACAGAGCUUUCCUCUGUCACGGCUGAACAACCUGGACGUGCCUUUGCCCGAGUGACCAUAGGCCGCAGAUGGGCAGUUUGUAUAGCUGAAUGCCAUGUUUGCCUACAGCACUGGGUUACCUGCACUGUCUGUACUUUUCUGGAGAAAAAAGAAAGCAGAUACUCUGGGCUCUCUAUACAGUUGUGACCUGCAAAGAGGUCUUGGCUGAGCAGGAUUGUGGGUGAUUGUCUCCCAAGAGCAAGAAGUUACAGAAAUAUGCUCUGCAGAGAAGAAAAAGGUGAAGGAAUCCCUCACUUCAAGCAACUGUAAGGAGAGGUGUGAAAUAUGGAAAGCAGUGCAAAAUUUUGUAGCAAAGCACCACCUGAGUAAGGGUGUAGCAGUCUAAUUGAUGAAUAUGUUUAAUGACAAUUUAGUGUCACAUUUCUGAGAAUCCUCAAAAGGAGGCAAAAGCAAGUGUCACUGAACAGUUUCCUUGUUAAGCAAAAACAAAAAGAUUUCACUGAACCAAUAGAUAGCCGUGAUUCUGUUAGGGGCAGUGAAAGUCUUCCUAGGGAAUAACUCUCCUGUCUUGUUUCUCUCACACCAGCCACAAAAGUUUUUAAAGGCUAGUGCAGUUAAUUUGUUUAUUUUCUUUAUAUUUUGUAUUUUCUUCACUCUUUUGUAUUAUUUUGCAGUAUUGUAAUCUUUUUUAUGUGAAUAUUUUUUGGUUGUGGAACAGCCAUCUGAAUUUCCAUGAUUUCUUAUGGGGAAAUUUGCCUUGAUGUACAAGUGCUUUGGAUUACAAGCAUGUUUCUAUAA